rfam:Papio anubis isolate 1X1155 chromosome 17, whole genome shotgun sequence.
UGGCACCUCAACGUGGGGCCUGGAAACGAGGGAUUCUGUGAGGAAGAGGAGGCGAAAGAACGGUGGACCGUCAAGCUGAAACUAAACUCCUCCGAUCACCGGGGGAACCUGCUGCGUCAGAAUCGAAGGUAAGUGACGCGCCCGAAAUGGGACAAGAAUUAAGCCAACAUCAAAUCUAUGUAGGACAAUUAAAAGAGGCUUUAAAGACAUGAGGAGUAAAGGUUAAAGGUAAUGAUUUGUUUAAAUUUUUUGACUUUGUAAAAGACACCUGCCCUU